rnacentral:ncRNA from 1 species
UGGUCCUGGCCUUAAAAUCAAUUCCUACCUAACCUACACAUGCAAGUAUCCGCACCCCCGUGAAAAUGCCCCUUAUCCCUUCUGGGCCUAAGGGAGCAGGUAUCAGGCACAAACUCGCCCAAGACACCUAGCCAUGCCACACCCACAAGGGCACUCAGCAGUGACUAAUAUUGAACAUAAGCAAAAGCUUGAUUCAGUUAGGGUAAUUAGAGCCGGCAAAUCUGGUGCCAGCCGCCGCGGUUACACCAGGGGCUUAAACUGAUUUUUAUCGGCGUAAAGAGUGGUUAAAGCACCUAUAAAACUAGGGCUAAACAAAGACUAAAUUGUUUAAAAUUUAUCUUAAGGAAACUCAUACAACGAAAGUUACCCUAUCUAAAUCAACUUGAGUCCACGAAAGCUGAGACAUAAACUGGGAUUAGAUACCCCAUUAUACCCAGCCAUAAACUUUAACUUACACCCAUAAUCGCCUGGGAACUACGAGCAAAGCUUAAAACCCAAAGGACUUGACGGUGCCCCAUAUCCCCCUAGAGGAGCCUGUCCUAUAAUCGAUGAUCCCCGUUGAACCUCACCUCUUCUAGCUAAUCAGCCUGUAUACUUCCGUCGUAAGUUUACCACGUGAGCGAUAACUUAGUAAGUCCAAUGUCCUACACUUAUUUUAUUAUACCAACAAUACGUCAGGUCAAAGUGCAGUAAAUGAAGAGGGAAGAGAUUGGCUACACUUUUUAACAUAAAAGAAAACGAAAGACAAUAAUGAAAUUUUGUCCGAAGGCGGAUUUAGCAGUAAAAAGAAUUCAUAAUAUUUAUUUUAACCCGGCCCUGGGGUGUGUACACACCGCCCGUCACCCUCUUCGAUUUAAUCUAGAUAGUACUUAACAAAAAAUUUCUUCUAAGAAGAGGUAAGUCGUAACAUGGUAAGUGUACCGGAAGGUGUACUUGGAAC